rnacentral:rRNA from 1 species
UAGGGAAUAUUGGUAAUCUGGGAAACCGGGAACCAGCAACGCCGCGUGUGCGAUGAAGGCCUUCGGGUUGUAAAGCACUUUUUGAGGGAAUGAAAAAGGACAGUACCCUCAGAAUAAGUCUCGGCUAACUACGUGCCAGCAGCCGCGGUAAGACGUAGGAGACGAGCGUUAUUCGGAUUUACUGGGCGUAAAGCGCGUGCAGGCGGUUUGGUAAGUUGGAUGUGAAAGCUCCUGGCUCAACUGGGAGAGGUCGUUCAAAACUGCCAGACUAGAGAAUAGGAGAGGGAGGUGGAAUUCCGGGUGUAGUGGUGAAAUGCGUAGAUAUCCGGAGGAACACCAGUGGCGAAGGCGACCUCCUGGCCUAUUUCUGACGCUCAGACGCGAAAGCUAGGGUAGCAAACGGG